GGUUAUACAAUGAUGAAUUCUUGAAAUAUGUUCAAACUUUUGAUUGCUAAAAUCAUCGAGAAUAUCUAUAUCAUAAAAACAAAUAUUAUACAAGUAUUAAACAAAUAUUCGUUUAUUUAUUAAUAAGAGUUAAUGAAAUUUUUUUCAGAUAAAACUGCCGCAUUCUUCUGCAUUCUUUAAAGACUCGUAAAGUCGUGCAUCUUGGUGUCACAAUUAUUAUCGAUUAUCGGUUAAUUGACUUUUUUUUCGAUGAUAAAUAGUGUAAGUACUUUUAAGAGUCAGAAUCUUCAAAAGAGUGGAUUACGAAAGAGUAAUGGCACUAUAUCUAUCGCAAGCACACAAUGAACUUGAUCCCAUCGCUAGUUAAAAGAAUUCUACGUGCAGGUGUCUCUCGAGUCGCGACAACGACUUUCUAUUUAAGUCUAUUUGGAAACUUCCUGGGCCUUUUGGUUAACAAAGCUAUUUGAAGAAUAAUUUUUUUUUUUUUUU